rnacentral:tRNA from 1 species
AUAUAUGAAGUAAAAAUUUUACAUUUAAUUUCGACUUAAAAAUUUGAUUAAUUAAUCCAUAUAUU